ACAACGGAUAAUUUUGCUCUUAUUACCUAAAUACUAUAGACUGCAUCUCCAGCCCCAUGUUGUCACAGUGUGCGUGUUUUUGAUAGGGUGGCUCCAAAGAAGUGGCAUCUUCAACUGUGGCCCUUUUGGUGGUAAGAGGCGGAAUUAAAGCUUUACGGGGGUAAUCAUCAAGGACUCAAGGAAACUCCAUUGUCUAAAUAAACUAAAAAUCAUGAUCGUGAUCAUGUAUCUUCCUUAAGAAAUGCGUUUCGUCAUCAUCGUCAACCUCAUGAGCGUCGAAAUGGGAAAAACAAAUCACAUCCC
rnacentral:sRNA from 1 species